AUUUCAAACAGUGCUGAGGUUGUGUUGACAUUUUCUACUGAGGUAGUCUCUGGUGGCCAAGAGUCGUAUACCCAGUCAUUGCCAAAAAUCACUGCAUAACCUAUGGCUCCUGUUGCGUUGGUCCAAAUUACCAAGGAAACGUCAGAGAUGGGGGGGACGAAUAAUGACCUGCCAUUCCAAGAGGAUAUAAAUAGAGGCCACAUUUUUAAAUCGGCUCUAGCUAGUUCAUCUAAGUUAGUUCUGGAAUCCUCAUCAGGGAGACCGUGUAAGAGAGAGAGAAUUCUGGAAAUAAAUUACCUCCCCUGUGGAAUUAUCCUCAUCGUGAAAUUGAGUGACCCAAGAAGUGACUGUAGCUCUUUCCUGGUGCAAG